UUCCAUCAGCGCUGCCACGAGGAAUGUGCGUUCAGUCGGUCGUGCAACAUUCGUCUGUCAGCGGCAGGCCAAAAGAUAAAGAAGAAGCUGGAAAACUAAACGCAAAAAUCCUACAGUUCCCCCCCUGCUGCUUCUCCAAACUGCUCCUUGAACCCCUGCCAAAGGAGGAGCAACUCAGAUGAUUUUCUGUCUGGCUUGCAAAUUGAAGUGGCUCCCGGAGCGCAAAAAGUGGGUGGAAUGCGAAUGUUGGGCUGGCUGACAUUUCGGGAUUACGAGUGCGCUGCUUAAAGUGUCACUGCUGCCAUUGGGCAUGCUCUUUGUUUAAUAAAUUAUUUAUGGGGCAGGCUGAGGGGCAGGUGUAUUAUUUCGCUCCAACUGGCAACACGUGGCAAUGGCCUUUGAUGGACCGAAAGGAGA
rnacentral:sRNA from 1 species